rnacentral:lncRNA from 1 species
CUUUUGGUUCCUUUCUUGACUGAAAACCAUUAAAAAGAACAGAAUUGCUGCUGAAAACUCACUGGUAGAGCACAAACUACUUUUAAUGCUGCAUCAGAACCAGAUGUCAUUACGUUCACCACAAGGUAGAUUCUUGCUGAUGAUGCUACAGGGACAGAGGAAAGAAAGAAGCUUGAUCUUUCUACAUCUGAUAUCCAGAGCUACUAACAUUUGGAAAAUAAAAAUCAAGGAAUGAGCAUCCAAAUGAGCUGGAGUCUAGAGAAUACUAAAGCCUUUGCUUGCUCGCUCUUGGGUGUCAGGUAAAUGAGAUACACUGAAAAUUAAUGUGCCAGCAGAAGAAAUACCAAUUUUA